CGGUGGUCAUCGUGAGGUGGGCACUGACCGGGCAGAAGUCAGCAGAGGUCGUAGUACCGGUGAGGGGAACGGACAAUCAGCCGGGAAGGAC
rnacentral:ncRNA from 1 species